UAAUAUAUAGUGAUAUCACGAUAAGUUGCAAACUUAUAAAUGCCAAUAGCUAUAUUAA
rnacentral:tRNA from 1 species